UCUCUAGACUUCUCUCUCUCUCUCUCUCAAUCUCUAUAUAUGCACAUCUAUAUAUUACAUACUUCAACCUAAUUUUUUUGGGUUUAGAGUGAGAUAUAGUUAAGAUCAAAGAAGGGAAGUUGCUUAUCAUCUUUUAGGCUUUCAUUCAAGACCACUCUUGCUUGUUUUUGGAAGGAUUUCGAAUUUUGGGAGGCCUUAGGCCUUGUUUGGUUUGCUUCAUUGAGGAAUGCGGAGACGGGCCGGUAAAUGAUGUACAUCCAUAGACAUUGAUGUAACUAGGAAUCCAUUUCAUUUUUUUUUUUACAUAUUAAAGCUAUGUAAAUUUUGGCCAUGGAGGCCUCAUUCUUGUAUUUAAUUCUUUGAAAAUUGUAUAAAAUGAGAUUUGUGUAAUUCGGUCUUUAAAUGA